rnacentral:rRNA from 1 species
AGUUUGAUCCUGGCUCAGGACGAAUGCGGGCGGCGUGCCUUAUACCUUCAAGUUGAGCGCUAGAAGACGUAUGAACCCUUCGGGGGGACGUUGGUGGAAUGAGCGGCGGACGUGUGAGUAACACGUAAAGAACCAGUCCAUUGGUCUGGGAUAAACACGAGAAAUCGGGGCUAAUACUGGAUGUGUCAUCGGACCGCAUGGUCCGCUGAUGAAAGGCGCUCCGGCGUCGCCCAUGGAUGGCUAUGCGGUGCAUUAGCUAGUUGGUGGGGUAACGGCCCACCAAGGCGACGAUGCAUAGCCGACCUGAGAGGGUGAUCGGCCACACUGGGAUUGAGACACGGCCCAGAGUCCUACGGGAGGCAGCAGUAGGGAAUCUUCCACAAUGGACGAAAGUUUGAUGGAGCAACGCCGCGUGAACGAUGAAGGCUUUCGGGUCGUAAAGUUCUGUUGUAAGGGAAGAACAAGUGCCGCAGGCAAUGGUGGCACCUUGACGGUACCUUGCGAGAAAGCCAUGGCUAACUACGUGUCAGCAGCCGCGGUAAUACGUAGGUGGCAAGCGUUGUCCGGAAUUAUUGGGCGUAAAGCGCGCGCAGGCGGCCUUUUAAUUAUGAUGUGAAAGCCCCCGGCUCAACCUGGGAGGGCCAUUGGAAAUUGGGAGGCUUGAGUAUAGGAGAGAAGAGUGGAAUUCCACGUGUAGCGGUGAAAUGCGUAGAGAUGUGGAGGAACACCAGUGGCGAAGGCGACUCUUUGGCCUAUAACUGACGCUGAGGCGGAGGAUCCUAAAUUGG